rnacentral:rRNA from 1 species
CGUGCUUAACACAUGCAAGUCGAACGGAAACAGCAGUGCUUGCACUGGCUGUCGAGUGGCGAACGGGUGAGUAAAGUAUAGUUAAUUUGCCUCUUGGAGAGGGAUAGCCAUUGGAAACGAUGAUUAAUACCUUAUACUCCUUUCUUCGUAAAGUUGAAAGGGAAAUGCUUUUGUGCCAAGAGAUAAGACUAUAUGGUAUCAGGUAGUUGGUGGGGUAAGAGCCUACCAAGCCAAUGACGCCUAGCUGGUCUGAGAGGAUGAUCAGCCACACUGGAACUGAGACACGGUCCAGACUCCUACGGGAGGCAGCAGUGGGGAAUAUUGCACAAUGGAGGAAACUCUGAUGCAGCAACGCCGCGUGGAGGAUGACGCAUUUCGGUGUGUAAACUCCUUUUUAUAUGGGAAGAUAAUGACGGUACCAUAUGAAUAAGCACCGGCUAACUCCGUGCCAGCAGCCGCGGUAAUACGGAGGGUGCAAGCGUUACUCGGAAUCACUGGGCGUAAAGCGCAUGCAGGCGGUCUAAUAAGUUGGAAGUGAAAGCCUAUGGCUCAACCAUAGAACUGCUUCCAAAACUGUUAGACUAGAGUCUGGGAGGGGGAAAGAUGGAAUUAGUAGUGUAGGGGUAAAAUCCGUAGAGAUUACUAGGGAAUACCAAAAGCGAAGGCGAUCUUCUGGAACAGUACUGACGCUGAGAUGCGAAAGCGUGGGGAGCAAACAGGAUUAGAUACCCUGGUAGUCCACGCAGUAAACGAUGAAUGUUAGUCGUUGGUGUCCUAGAGACAUCAGUGAUGCAGUUAAACACAUUAAAACAUUCCGCCUGGGGAGUACGGUCGCAAGAUUAAAACUCAAAGGAAUAGACGGGGACCCGCACAAGUGGUGGAGCAUGUGGUUUAAUUCGAAGAUACGCGAAGAACCUUACCUAGCCUUGACAUAUUUUAGAAUUCACCAGAGAUGGAGAAGUGCCUUCGGGAGCUUUAAUACAGGUGCUGCACGGCUGUCGUCAGCUCGUGUCGUGAGAUGU